ACCUGACUGCUAUCGGAUUGAUACUAAGCCAUGCGAGUCAUUGUAGCAAUACAAGGCAGACGGCUCAGUAACACGUAGUCAAUCUAACCUAUGGACGGGGAUAACCUCGGGAAACUGAGAAUAAUACCCGAUAGGCCACUAUGCCUGGAAUGGCUUGUGGCCCAAAUGAUUUAUCGCCGUAGGAUGGGACUGCGGUCUAUCAGCUUGUUGGUGAGGUAAUGGCCCACCAAGGCUAUAACAGAUACGGGCUCUGAGAGGAGAGGCCCGGAGAUGGGUACUGAGACACGGACCCAGGCCCUAUGGGGCGCAGCAGGCGAGAAAACUUUGCAAUGUGCGAAAGCACGACAAGGUUAAUCCGAGUGUUUUCUGCUAAAGAAAUCUUUUACCGGUCUUAAAACCACCGGCGAAUAAGGGGUGGGCAAGUUCUGGUGUCAGCCGCCGCGGUAAAACCAGCACCUCAAGUGGUCAGGAGGAUUAUUGGGCCUAAAGCAUCCGUAGCCUGCCGUGUAAGUUUUCGGUUAAAUCUAUGCGCUCAACGCAUAGGCUGCCGGAAAUACUGCACGGCUAGGGAGUGGGAGAGGUAGACGGUACUCGGUAGGAAGGGGUAAAAUCCUCUGAUCUAUCGAUGACCCCCUGUGGCGAAGGCGGUCUACUAGAACACGUCCGACGGUGAGGGAUGAAAGCUGGGGGAGCAAACCGGAUUAGAUACCCGGGUAGUCCCAGCUGUAAACAAUGCAAACUCAGUGAUGCAUUGGCGUAAGAGCCAGUGCAGUGCCGCAGGGAAGCCGUUAAGUUUGCCGCCUGGGAAGUACGUACGCAAGUAUGAAACUUAAAGGAAUUGGCGGGGGAGCACCACAAGGGGUGAAGCCUGCGGUUC
rnacentral:rRNA from 2 species